AACGAACGCUGGCGGCAUGCCUAACACAUGCAAGUCGAACGAACCCUUCGGGGUUAGUGGCGCACGGGUGCGUAACGCGUGGGAAUCUGCCCUUGGCUUCGGAAUAACAGUUAGAAAUGACUGCUAAUACCGGAUGAUGUCUUCGGACCAAAGAUUUAUCGGCCAGGGAUGAGCCCGCGUAGGAUUAGGUAGUUGGUGGGGUAAAGGCCUACCAAGCCGACGAUCCUUAGCUGGUCUGAGAGGAUGAUCAGCCACACUGGGACUGAGACACGGCCCAGACUCCUACGGGAGGCAGCAGUGGGGAAUAUUGGACAAUGGGCGCAAGCCUGAUCCAGCAAUGCCGCGUGAGUGAUGAAGGCCUUAGGGUCGUAAAGCUCUUUUACCCGGGAUGAUAAUGACAGUACCGGGAGAAUAAGCCCCGGCUAACUCCGUGCCAGCAGCCGCGGUAACAC
rnacentral:rRNA from 1 species